UCAGGGUCUGUAUACCGAGUCAGGGUCUGUCUGGAGGAUCAGAGUCUGUAUACAGAGUCAGGGUCUGUAUAGAGGGUCAGUGUCUGUAUAGGGGGUCAAGGUCUGUAUACCGAGUCAGGGUCUGUAUAGAGGGUCAGGGUCUGUAUACAGAGUCAGGGUCUGUAUAGAGGGUCAGUGUCUGUAUAGAGGGUCAGAGUCUGUAGAGAGGGUCAGUUCUGUAUAGAGGGUCAGAGUCUGUAUAGAUGGUCAGUUCUGUAUAGAGGGUCAGAGUCUGUAGAGAGGGUCAGUUCUGUAUAGAGGGUCAGAGUCUGUAUAGAUGGUCAGUUCUGUAUAGAGGGUCAGAGUCUGUAGAGAGGGUCAGAGUCUGUAGAGAGGGUCAGUUCUGUAUAGAGGGUCAGAGUCUGUAGAGAGGGUCAGAGUCUGUAGAGAGGGUCAGUUCUGUAUAGAGGGUCAGAGUCUGUAGAGAGGGUCAGAGUCUGUAGAGAGGGUCAGUUCUGUAUAGAGGGUCAGAGUCUGUAUAGAGGGUCAGGGUCUGUAUAGAGGGUCAGGGUCUGUAUAGAAGUUUUAGUGGAAACCUCCUGGCUGUUUUUGUGCUGCAGCAUGUUUAAACUACAGAAAGCAGAGCUUACCGCAGUAACAGAAGCAUCAGCUCUAUCGGUGCAGGUGCAGACCCAGUUUAAAAACUGCUCUGACCUCCAUAUAUUUGCUCAUGAAGGACCAGAUGUGCAGAAGAAUGAGGGAUUAGAGAAGAGAUUGGACACAUUUCUGCUUUGGGGAAAAGAGAAUGUAAAUUUUUCGUCAUGUUUUAAUGACCAGCAUAGUGAGAGGAAGGAAGUUUUAUUCCACUGAGGGUUUUGGUCACUCAGCAGACACGCCUGUUUACUCCUCAGCCUUCUUUAGGCUGCUGCCUGCAGAAACACAGCCAUGGUCCUGACCUCACUAACCAGCCGGAGCCAAGGAAAACACUCCUGGGUGUCGCAGCAUGGCUAUGGAAACUGGAAAGAAAAGCAGCGUGGAAUUUGGUUGUCCAUGUGCUGACCUCACAGAUAACCAUUGUUUUUCUUCUGCCUGUCAUAAAUCCUGCAGUCUUCCUCAGUAAAACCAUCCUCCUGCUCCACUCCAGAUGUGCUUCAGAACCUUUCUGGGUCACAGAGAACCAGAAACACACAAAGAUGCAGAAAACUCACCAACCAGCAGAACUUCACUGACUCUUUAAAAUUAGUUUCCUUUAUUAAUGCUGCCAGUGGACCCUUAUUAACUGACCUGCAGCUUAAAACACACACACACACACACACACACACA